UACAGAGGGUGCGAGCGUUAAUCGGAAUUACUGGGCGUAAAGCGCGCGUAGGCGGCUUUGCAAGUCGGGUGUGAAAUCCCCAGGCUUAACCUGGGAACUGCAUUCGAGACUGCAUUGCUAGAGUAUGGGAGAGGGAAGUGGAAUUUCCGGUGUAGCGGUGAAAUGCGUAGAGAUCGGGAGGAACACCCGUGGCGAAGGCGGCCAUCUGGACCAGCACUGACGCUGAGGCACGAAAGCGUGGGGAGCAAACAGG
rnacentral:rRNA from 1 species